CAUUUCUGUGACUCCCUUUCUAUCUAGUAGACCCUGUUGGUAUUGCAUUUGGCCAAUCCAUUCUCUCUGAACCUACAAACUGUGGAAUUGCCCUAACAGAACGUCCGAAUUUACAGGUCUUGGCCGGAGACCGGAGCCAUGUCUGUGUUAUCCCCACUGUAGACAAUCCUUGCUUCCUCUGGACAUCUGGAGCAGGCCCAAUUUGACUGAGAGCCUUCCCCCACUAAGGAAUUCCUGGACAAUGGAGAGUGCCCCAGGCCCCCUGAACAUCUUGCUGAUGAGGGAGUAAAGCCACCCUGGGUGGGUGUGAGUGCGCGCGCG
rnacentral:lncRNA from 1 species